rnacentral:rRNA from 1 species
CCCUCUUAAAAUAUCACCCUGCCUCUCACAGCUGGCAGCCCACUGAAGCUCAGCAGGGCUGAGCCUGACCAGUACUUGGAUGGGAGACCUCCUGGGAAAGCUGAGGUUGCUGCUGGA